rnacentral:rRNA from 1 species
AUUGAACGCUGGCGGCAGGCCUAACACAUGCAAGUCGAACGGUAGCACAGAGAGCUUGCUCUUGGGUGACGAGUGGCGGACGGGUGAGUAACGUCUGGGAAACUGCCCGAUGGAGGGGGAUAACUACUGGAAACGGUAGCUAAUACCGCAUAACGUCGCAAGACCAAAGUGGGGGACCUUCGGGCCGCACACCAUCGGAUGUGCCCAGAUGGGAUUAGCUAGUAGGUGGGGUAAUGGCUCACCCAGGCGACGAUCCCUAGCUGGUCUGAGAGGAUGACCAGCCACACUGGAACUGAGACACGGUCCAGACUCCUACGGGAGGCAGCAGUGGGGAAUAUUGCACAAUGGGCGCAAGCCUGAUGCAGCCAUGCCGCGUGUAUGAAGAAGGCCUUCGGGUUGUAAAGUACUUUCAGCGGGGAGGAAGGCGGUGAAGUUAAUAGCUUCACCGAUUGACGUUACCCGCAGAAGAAGCACCGGCUAACUCCGUGCCAGCCGCCGCGGUAA